rnacentral:rRNA from 1 species
UACGUAGGUCCCGAGCGUUGUCCGGAUGUAUUGGGCGUAAAGCGAGCGCAGGUGGUUUAUUAAGUCUGGUGUAAAAGGCAGUGGCUCAACCAUUGUAUGCAUUGGAAACUGGUAGACUUGAGUGCAGGAGAGGAGAGUGGAAUUCCAUGUGUAGCGGUGAAAUGCGUAGAUAUAUGGAGGAACACCGGUGGCGAAAGCGGCUCUCUGGCCUGUAACUGACACUGAGGCUCGAAAGCGUGGGUAGCAAACAGG